GUCAGCGUUUAGUUAUUCAAUCCGUUCCACUUGUUGAUAUAGAGAACGCCCACAUUACUGAAAAUCCAGUCCGCGUUUUCACUGCUGCCAGCAGCAGCACCUACAUGCUCCCUGCACACAGUGACAGCUAGACGAUCACAUCACGAGCCAGGCAGAGAGCAGCAUCAUGGACAUACGCAAGUUUUUCAAAAAAGUAAGUCUUUAUAGCUGCUGGUAGUAACAAUAAGCUCCAGCUAACAGUAAAUAGUCCCAUGUAAUUUAUGAACCAGUUGCUCCCCUUUUUGAGAAAUAAAGACCUGGCUAUCACACCAAUUGUUAGCAUGAUGUUGAUUUCUGUCACUUGUUUUAGCUCUGAAAAAAGCGAGCUGAGCUCAUUCACGUAUGAUUAUCAUCAGUGGAAAAUAAUAAUGCACUAAUAAUACUCACCCCACCAUCCCCACUGACCUGUAGGAGUCAGGACAGAGGAGCACAGCAAGUGAGAGGGGAGACACCUCUACUGGAGAGGUGAGUCUAAAAGAAUUCACAGGAGUGAUGCAGACAGUCUGAUUAGAAUUUUAUGGAACUCAAUAUGGAUAUGAAAUAUGAAAUUUCAGUCACGGUGCACCAUAUAAGACUUAUUUCAUUUGAGUUUUUAUUUAAGAGAGUCAAGAUUAGAAAGUGGAGAGAGCCAAGAGAUAAAUUAGCCUGACCGAAAUAUUUUUGGGGGUUCUAUUUUAAUAUUACUUUAAGUCAAGUAAUUUAGUAAUAUUUUUCAGGGCUUUAAAUUGCAACCAUUUUAGUCAAAUAUGGGCCCAAAAUGUAAUCUGUGUAACAUCU